CAGCCGCCGCGGGAAUACGAAGGGUGCAAGCGUUACUCGGAAUUACUGGGCGUAAAGCGUGCGUAGGUGGUGGUUUAAGUCCGUUGUGAAAGCCCUGGGCUCAACCUGGGAAUUGCAGUGGAUACUGGGUCACUAGAGUUUGGUAGAGGAUAGUGGAAUUUCCGGUGUAGCAGUGAAAUGCGUAGAGAUCGGAAGGAACAUCUGUGGCGAAGGCGACUAUCUGGGCCAACACUGACACUGAGGCACGAAAGCGUGGGGAGCAAACAGGAUUAGAUACCCCCGUAGUCCCUGUCUCUUAUAC
rnacentral:rRNA from 1 species